rnacentral:tRNA from 1 species
CGUGGCGUAGAGCAGCGGUCAGCUCGCAAGUCUCAUUGGCUUGAGGUCGCAGGUUCGAGUCCUGCCGCCGCAA